GGCCUGUAGAAUAAGAGACUAAAGGUCCGGCCUGCCCGGUGAGGAUUUAAACGGCGGCAGUAUCCUGACUGUCCAAAGGUAGCGCAAUCACUCGCCUCUUAAUUGGAGGCAUAGUAUGAAUGGCCAGACGAGGGUUAAGCUGUCUCUUUUAAGUUGUUUUGAAGUUGAUUUUAGGUGCAGAAUCCUAGAUUUUUAUGAAAGACGAGAAGACCCUACGUGCUUUAGUUUUGGUUAAUUGGAUGUAAAAUAACUAAGACUUUUAUUGGGAGAAUAAAGGAGGAGAAUGAUAAUCCUGCUAUUAUACUUGGGCUGUUAGAUGUGUUUAAGGUAGCUUAGAUAGGAAGAGAUUAUAGUUGCGAUGGAUAAUAGUAACCAUAGGGAUAACAGAUCAAUUUCUUUUGAGAGUACACAUUAACAAAGAAGUUUGGCACCUCGAUGUUGGCUUAGGAGUAUUACUACGAAGUAGAGGUCUAGUAAAUGGGCUUGUUCCGCCUUUUAAUUCCUA
rnacentral:rRNA from 1 species